rnacentral:rRNA from 1 species
AUUGAACGCUGGCAGCAGGCUUAACACAUGCAAGUCGAGCGGGGAAAGGUAGCUUGCUACCUGACCUAGCGGCGGACGGGUGAGUAAUGCUUAGGAAUCUGCCUAUUAGUGGGGGACAACAUUCCGAAAGGAAUGCUAAUACCGCAUACGCCCUACGGGGGAGAGCAGGGGAUCUUCGGACCUUGCGCUAAUAGAUGAGCCUAAGUCAGAUUAGCUAGUUGGUGGGGUAAAGGCCUACCAAGGCGACGAUCUGUAGCGGGUCUGAGAGGAUGAUCCGCCACACUGGGACUGAGACACGGCCCAGACUCCUACGGGAGGCAGCAGUGGGGAAUAUUGGACAAUGGGCGAAAGCCUGAUCCAGCCAUGCCGCGUGUGUGAAGAAGGCCUUUUGGUUGUAAAGCACUUUAAGCGAGGAGGAGGCUACUUAGAUUAAUACUCUAGGAUAGUGGACGUUACUCGCAGAAUAAGCACCGGCUAACUCUGUGCCAGCAGCCGCGGUAAGAC